GUGAAUCAUCGAAUCUUUGAACGCAAAUUGCACUCUCUUCGGAGAGUAUGCCUGUUUGAGGGUCAGUAUUAAUAAAAAUCGGCGUGUUGCUCUUUUGUGAUGCUCCGGAGUUUGGGUCAUCUUAUAAUAAUACCUUUCAAGUGUUUUUUAAGAGGCUUAAAAUUGACAUCUUUUUUGCGCAUUUUUUGACGUACAUAAAUUUUUUUAUUCGUUUAUUCCAAUGCCAAAAUCUAUUAGAUGCGACCAUAUCGUGUGGUUCCGUGUCUAUAAAUUUUUUCAUGAUUUGACCUCAAAUCAGGU
rnacentral:misc_RNA from 1 species